rnacentral:ncRNA from 1 species
AGGACCGGAGUGGACGCACCUCUGGUGUAUCGGUUGUCACGCCAGUGGCAUUGCCGAGUAGCUAAGUGCGGAAGAGAUAACCGCUGAAAGCAUCUAAGCGGGAAACUCGUCUCAAGAUGAGUCUUGCCGGGGCCUAGAGCCCCCUGAAGGGUCGUUCGAGACCAGGACGUUGAUAGGCUGGGUGUGGAAGCGCAGUAAUGCGUUAAGCUAACCAGUACUAAUUGCCCGUGAGGCUUGACCCU